AACGAACGCUGGCGGCGUGCCUAACACAUGCAAGUCGAGCGCGAAAGUCCCUUCGGGGGCGAGUAGAGCGGCGGACGGGUGAGUAAUACAUAGGUAAUCUACCUUCGAGCUUGGGAUAACCCCGCGAAAGUGGGGCUAAUACCGGAUAAGACCACGUGACUAUGUUACGGGGUAAAAGGUGGCUUAUUUUUAAAUGAGCUAUCACUUGAGGAUGAGCCUGUGGCCUAUCAGCUAGUUGGCGGGGUAAGAGCCCACCAAGGCUAUGACGGGUAACUGGUCUGAGAGGACGACCAGUCACACUGGGACUGAGACACGGCCCAGACUCCUACGGGAGGCUG
rnacentral:rRNA from 1 species